rnacentral:rRNA from 1 species
GACGAACGCUGGCGGCGUGCCUAAUACAUGCAAGUAGAACGCACAGUUUAUACCGUAGCUUGCUACACCAUAGACUGUGAGUUGCGAACGGGUGAGUAACGCGUAGGUAACCUGCCUGGUAGCGGGGGAUAACUAUUGGAAACGAUAGCUAAUACCGCAUAAUAUUGAUUAUUGCAUGAUAAUUAAUUGAAAGGUGCAAUUGCACCACUACCAGAUGGACCUGCGUUGUAUUAGCUAGUAGGUGAGGUAACGGCUCACCUAGGCGACGAUACAUAGCCGACCUGAGAGGGUGAGCGGCCACACUGGGACUGAGACACGGCCCAGACUCCUACGGGAGGCAGCAGUAGGGAAUCUUCGGCAAUGGACGAAAGUCUGACCGAGCAACGCCGCGUGAGUGAAGAAGGUUUUCGGAUCGUAAAGCUCUGUUGUAAGAGAAGAACGGGUGUGAGAGUGGAAAGUUCACACUGUGACGGUAUCUUACCAGAAAGGGACGGCUAACUACGUG